UCAAAGGCUUUACUAUCCAUCAAAGCCACAAAUGGCAAUCAUACAAAUUAUAU
rfam:Dipodomys ordii contig_62097, whole genome shotgun sequence.